rnacentral:rRNA from 1 species
AUGGCAAAGGCUGUAUUUUCUAAUCUCUUCGGAAAUGACUUCUUGGUCCAAUCAAUGGAAAAAAUAAUCAGCACUGCAAUCGAAGAUGGGAGGAGCCGUGGAGGAGACCUUUUUAAUCCGGCGUCGGCGUGGUCGUUUGAGAAGCUAUGGCGCGAUCCCGGCGAUGGCUAUGUGAGGAGAAACAAGCACGAUCUUUUGGGGGCUUGCAAAACAUGUGCACUGACCGCGGGUCCAACCACAUAUCACAGAAGCCCGAGCCAUCGCCGUGCCCGUGCCAACCCGCGGCCCACCAUUGCCUCCCUUUCCCUUGCCCCACCAAAUUGUUAUUCUUCUCCGGCGACGAAGCCUGCCAUCGCCGGCGGACGGCACGGGGCAACCCUAGAGGUAGAUCUGCCAUCGGCGGUGGAUAAUAAGGGCUAUGCCAAUGUUCCUCCGAUGGUGGCAGAUGCGGAACUCAAGGUGGAAUUGAAGAAGAUCAACAAGAACUUAAGGCAGUUGAUCGAUCUGAAGAAGCACGCAAAUCUGAUGGCCGCGGGAUUUUAUUUUUCAAUAAUUGUUCUCCGCAUUUUAACCACCCGGGCCGUCCGCACCUCCCACGACCGCUGCAAGAUCAGAUCGGAGACGCCGGUCGCCCACGGAAUACAGGAGUCGGCGGCCACCACUCGCCGCCCACCGCCAACUUUGCGACGCACUAACCGCCGCCAUCUACUCGGCGGCACCGUCUCCGAGAGAAGAUUAAUUGAGCCGGAUUUUAUCAUUGCAUAUGAGCCAGCAAUGUCAGUUUCAGAUACGAACCUUCAUAAUGGAGAAAAGCCCAUCUCCGAAAUUACCGAUGCGGAACUCGGCGAAAAUCAUGGUCAUAUGAAGUUAGUAUGCUCACAGACAAGGUUUGGAAAAACCAUGAAACUGUUGUCACCAGACCACAAAAAGUACAUCAUAUCAGAAACCAGUCUUGGCGGUCUAACCCAGAUGCAUGAAGUGACUCUACGGCGCAUAAUGUUGUAUUGGUACUGGGAGCACGUGCGUAGUGGCCGAUUGAUGUAUGCUUCUAGACCCCCUCCAUUGAUCGCACGAUGGGACGAAAUGACGGCUACUUUAAGAAGCGAUGCUUACGACAAAGGAGGUCUUCAUAACGGGCUGGCUGUCAUGGAAAUUUGUGCUCCUCAACGACCGCCUGAGAAUUCUAAUAAUUUUCCAAGAAAAAAUGAUGAACAUGUGCAUCAACAUGAUUCGUAUCGAGCACCAUCACAAGGACAGCAAUUUAGUAGCCAACAAAUUGACAUGGUAGUUGAAGCCAUGAAUGCACGCUUAGCUGAUCAUGAAAAGAAGACGCUAGGUGAAGACUUGAUCGACAUGAAGACUAAAACUAGCACUAAUCCUAGGUUGUCGAAGGCCGAGGACGAAAUUAAAGACUUAAGGAGGGAACUACAUGAAUUAAAAUACGAAUUUACAAGCAACCGACAAUCAGUGUCACAGAAAGGAGGCGUGCAGGAUCAAGUCAAUGUGUGCAAUUCAUCCCUGACAGGAACUCCUAGGCUAGCCAAUUCACGGCAGGGACUUCGACUACACCAAUUCACGGAUGAGGACAUAGAGACAGCCGUUUACAUCCGCGGAACAUACGACCCUGUUGAAAUAGCUAGAAUCGGAGACAUUACCCUCACAGCAGAAAAACUGAAGCGAAAUUUGGACGACAAAUACAUUUAUGGUGAUGUUAUUAUGGCAUAUGCUCGCAUUAGCCAAAUUGAGAAUGAUACUACCUCAAUCAUAUCCCCUCAAGAAACCGAAAAGCUGUUACAAAUGAAGGGGGUGGUUCCUGUUGGACGUGCAGCCUCAUGGUUAGCUCGUGUAGCAGAAAAAUUUGUAGGGCACCGAAAGGUGCAUGUCCCACUGAAUGUACACCAAAACCAUUGGAUGCUAAUGAUGUUUAAUUUUGACAAAAAAGAAAUUCAGACUCUGAACUCCAUGAAUUAUCAUUGCGAGAAGACCAAGGAAGAUUCUCUUGUGGACUCGAUUCAGUUCUGCAUCGACGAAGCUGUCAAGAAUGGGUUGAUAUCACCAGCUAAGAACAUCAAUUUUGCCGAAUGGACCAAAAAACGCUAUGAGAACAUACCACAACAGACCGAUGGGACUUCCUGUGUGGUUUGGACACUGCAGUACAUGUUGUCAUGGAACGGGGAUGAAAUGACCGAUAUUUUGAACCAGAAGGAGGUGUACGAUGCCCAGCAAGCAGUUCUACCUGAUGGUUCAGAAGACGACGUACAAUUAGUCAACAAUCCUGAUGGUUCCAACGAACCCGACACAUCCAACUCCCAGAAGGAUACCGCAAGACCAUAG